UGAAAGAGGCAGAGACCGUUCAAAGAAGCAAAUAUAGAUCAAGUCAUGAAGACAAAAGUAAGCAGUAGUUUCUAAGAUGUCGAAUUCCACUCUGAAUCCCUUCAUCAACACUUCUUGACAGGGAACAACACAAAUCCUGGAGUGUGUCUGUUUAAGCAGUCAUAGCUAGUUUGGCACUAGUGUCUGAACGUAUUACUGAAAAACCUGACAAAAAAAAGAUCUGAAGGGGGUGUAGCUCUAAUGCAUUGACUGAGCAUGUGAGACAACUGCCUUUAGUUUCAUGAAGACUGUGAGAAGCUUGAAUGUGCUGUGGUAAUCAGCCACUAAUUUAUCACCUCGAAACACAGUGUAUGCCUCUCCUGUGGUUCCACCUGCAUAAUCUGUCAUGGGGAAUAAAGGAUGACAAUAGUAAAGAAGCCAAGCGCUGCUCUGGGAGAAAAUGGUCGUGGCGUCAGUGUGGUAUGUCAUGAAACUUCGUAAUCCAGAGGCCUGGACUAAGGAUUUUGAGGCACGGGUUCUAAUCCCGCCCACAGGAGCUAAUUUGGGGAGCUAAUGUUCAAUGGAUUAAGUCAAUCUUGAAUUAAAUGGGUACCAUCAGUAAUGGCGGCCAUGACUGGAUUGUUUAAAAAACCCAAUGGUUUCACAAAUUAGUUGGGGAAGGAAAUCCGCCAACCUUCUCAGCGUGAUCACAUGUGAGUUCAGAUGCACAGCAAUGUGGUUAACGGUGAAGUUCUGUCUGAGAUUACCUCAUAAAGGACUCAGCUAUAUACAGCACACCUAGUACUUUAGCCAACAUCUUAUGAACACUGCAUUCUUGACAAACCGCCAAUACAGUUAUGUACCUCAAAAACUGUCAAGUUUACUGUACUAUUCUAUUUGAUUAUUAUAGUUUUUUUUCAAACUUAUUUACCUCAAUGUAAACACACUUGGCGUUCUAUCGAAUGUACAUGACAGUCAACCCAAUUUUGAGUCAAUUUCUUCUUGAAAACCUGCAAUGUCCGAAUAGUCAGCUGAGGGUGUGAGUGUAUGCUCUGUGCUGAGAAGGCAAAGUUGGAUCAUUAUUUCAGUGAUUAUGUUAUAAAUAAAGUAUGACAGUGAUGUGCAU